rnacentral:rRNA from 1 species
AGAGUUUGAUCAUGGCUCAGGACGAACGCUGGCGGCGUGCUUAACACAUGCAAGUCGAACGGUUCUCGAAGUUCGAGGUUGGAUGUUCGAAGUCCUUCUCGACGUUCGAGGUUAGAAGUUCGAAGUUCGAAUAGAAGGAAUUGGCGUAAAGGCCAAUUCCAACAAGCAUCGAACCUCUAACAUCGAAUUUCGAAUAUCGAGAAAGAGACUCGAAUCUCGAACCUCGAAUUUCGAGGAUAGUGGCGGACGGGUGAGUAACACGUGGAUAACCUGCCUGUAAGACCGGGACAACACCUGGAAACGGGUGCUAAUACCGGGUAAGCUCUUUUUGCCGCAUGGUAAGAGGAGGAGAGGGGAAACCCGCUUACAGAUGGAUCCGCGGCCCAUUAGCUAGUUGGCGGUGUAACGGACCACCAAGGCGACGAUGGGUAGCCGGCCUGAGAGGGUGAUCGGCCACACUGGAACUGAGACACGGUCCAGACUCCUACGGGAGGCAGCAGUGGGGAAUCUUCCGCAAUGGGCGAAAGCCUGACGGAGCAACGCCGCGUGAAUGAUGAAGGCCUUCGGGUUGUAAAAUUCUGUCUUC